UUACUUACCACUUUGAGUCUUAGCCAUUCUUUCAGUGACAUGGCUUGUUAUAUAGUCAUUUGACUUGAAAGAUUUAAUUUUCCUACCCUCUUUGGAGUUGGGUAAAAAUGUUUAUUUUCCUUGUCUGAUGCAAUUAUGUAAUUGGGGUUUCUCUUGGAAGUUAGCAACAUUUAACUUUGGGAUUGGGGUACUAGAAAAAUUGGUCAAAAUAAAGAAAAACAAGAAUUUAAAACUGACCUAUUCAAAAAAAAAUUGAAAAAGAAAGAAAGAUGAAUAGGACCAACAAAAUGCAUUCUCUAGUACUGAAUAACCAAUCAAAUAGUGAUAUGAAAGGAAUCAGAUAACAUAAGGGGAAAUAGGUACCUAACUCCAAAAGUUUAAGCCUACCAUCCCAAAAUAUCCUACCCUGACAUAAG
rnacentral:lncRNA from 1 species